rnacentral:rRNA from 1 species
UACGAACCGUCCAAACGUUAUUCGGAAUUACUGGGCUUAAAGGGUUUGUAGGCGGCCUUGUAAGUGGGGUGUGAAAUCCCUCGGCUCAACCGAGGAAUAGCGCUCCAAACUACAUGGCUUGAGGGAGACAGGGGUAAGCGGAACUGAUGGUGGAGCGGUGAAAUGCGUUGAUAUCAUCAGGAACACCGGUGGCGAAAGCGGCUUACUGGGUCUCUUCUGACGCUGAGAAACGAAAGCUAGGGUAGCGAACGGGAUUAGAUACCCCGGUAGUCCUAGCUGUAAACGAUGAGCACUUGGUUGGGGAUCCUCCCAUAGGUUCUCGACCGUAGCGAAAGUGUUAAGUGCUCCGCCUGGGGAGUAUGGUCGCAAGGCUGAA